UGUGUGUGUGUGUGUGUGUGCAUUUUAUACCCUUUAGUGACAACCUCAACAUAAUCUGAGCUUGCUCUACAGGCAGGGUGGGAUGAUACUUCAAAGAGGUGACUGCACGGAAACAAAUAAAAGGCGAGUAAAAAUGGAGAGUUUGGAGUAUAACACGGUGAAAGCAGAGGGGGUUUUCCAGUUCGGAUGAUUCAGGACCGCACGGAUUCCAUCCAAAUCUUCGUCCAGGCCAGGAAGUAACGAGGAAUGUGAGGAUGUCAUUGUCUGGAGUUUGCUUCCCAGCACAGACCUGCAAUUGAGAUGGCCGCCAUGUUCCCAGUGAGAGCGAGCGAGCGUCCCGGUCCCAGGUGGAUCCACGGUAAUGGCAGCUCACGGCAGAAGCGAGGCCCUCGGUGCAUUCAGGCGUGCUAAAGUUGAACAGUAUCCACCUCCAUUCAAGACCAACUCAAGGUUUACAAGCACAGACACGUGGCCCCGUCUCACCUCCCAGCAGCAUCUCGUGCAGCAGGUUGUCUAUCUUGGCCAGGCCGCAGAGCUUAAUGAACUGGAG